AAAUCCUAACCCUCCUGUUCCUGAUCACCUCCUCCGUCAACUUCAGACCAUACGCGCCACCAUCAACCAUCUCACGCGCCUCCAACCUAAUCCCUCUGUUCAGACCACCGCCUCCAACAUCCCAUCUGACCUCCUACUCUAUACUCAGCUAUCACCCAUUGCAUCUGCCUGCCGCCACCACCCUGAUCUUCUUCAUCAGUACAUGAAUUACACCCCUUUCUCCGUUUGUCCCCAGCUGUCUUCCGCCGCCGCCGAACCCUUGAUCCUU
rnacentral:lncRNA from 1 species